UGUCAAUCAGGGCCCAAUCAGCUGACUGUCAGCUGGGACGGGCGAGCUUAACCCUUCCCGCGCCGCCACCUCCCCCGGAGGGAGCCAAGCCGAGCGCAAAGUUUGGUGAAAGAGAGCCAAGAGUUUUCCAGAGGGGCUGCGGGAACCCGGGAGGAGAGGGAGAUCGAUUCUUUUAAAGCUCAUGCAAGAAGGAAAAAGAAAAAGGAAAGAAAAGAAAAAGGAAACAACCAACAACUCUGUUUCUAAGAUUUUAAAGCGAUAGGCAAGUCGGAGAAGCCGAGAUUUACUAUUUGGGGGAAAGCAAGAGCGCGCGAGCGAAUCCAGCGUUUGGAAGACCAGCCCGCCUGCUUGGAUGUUGGGACUGUUGAUUCUUCCAAUUAAUGAAAUGCAUUUGGUGUUAAUACUAUUUUUUUUUUACUUUGUGGGAGGGGGGAACACUAGGAGGGUGCAUUAAGAAAAAAAAAUUCUGAAAAGCCUGCAAAAGGAUCGAAGAGUGAAAACUAUUGUUGGAUCGAGUUGGUUUUUACCUCAACAGCGCCACCUUUCGGCAAAGGUCAGUUGAAAUUGAUCCGUGUCCAGUUUUGUUGAAGCGAAAAGAGGCUGGUUUCCCCAGGUGGGAGGAGGAAAGAGGCGCAGGAAGUUUGACUGCAGUGGGAGAACCCAACCUUGUAGGUAAGGGGCUGAGGACAGUGCAGGCAGGUGAGGGAGUUAUUUUUCCUCCACUCUCCCCCUGGAUUGUCGACCAAGGGGACAGGGGGCACAGAAGCCUUUUGGAGUGUGAUUCUGUCUCAGAGACUUGAGCAAGUGGAUCCCACGUAACAGGGCCCCAAGCCCUUAAAAGUGCCAGGAUGGAUUUCCAGCGGGCUUUAUGGCAAUAUCAAUAGAAUUAAAGUUACUUGUAAUUCAGUGAUAAAUGAGAUGUCUCUCGUAAGUAAGAUUAAGUGCAGCGCUAUAAAGUUGUUUAUCUGAAAAGUAAUUCUCAGAAAACCUGACUUCUGACACUUAGUCAUAUAUUAAGCCUCACGUCUUGAACAUUGCACUUCAGAAGGCUGUCACCCACCCCACAGCGUACUUUACUAUUUAUAACGAGACCUUAGGUGUCACUCACUGGCUUCAGACUCCAGAUGACACUUGUGUUAAUUUCUCUGAUGCUGGCAGCCCUGGUUUCAGCAGACCCCAGGGUUCCUAAUGAGAGAAUCCCCCAAUACAGGUUUGUAGGCGCAUCAGAAUCCUGAAAGGCCAGUGCUGUUGGUAUUUUCCAGAAAAGCACCUUCUCUUUUCAUCAUUACUUCAGCGAAGUUGUUUAUAAGGGUAGUUUUGGUCUUAUGGGAAUACUUUGUCUAUUACCAGUUUGGAGAAGAAAGAGUGACGGUUAUGUCAAUAUUUAUGCAACCUAACAGAAUUCCUUUGCUUUCCACCUCUUCAACAGUAUUUUACCUAGUAAUGAAGUUAAGGGACUAUAGCUUGUUUAUUCAGAGGAAAAUCUUAAACUACAUAAACGUACGAUGUCAUUUAGCAUUGUUCAUAGCAAUAGUUUUCUAGGCUUUUAAAAAACCAUUAGCCACAAAUGUCUGAAGUUUAUAAUUAUUCACGUGAAACAUGAAUUUAAAUGUAGUUAGGAAGAAUUGAUUCUUUUUUUGUUUAUAAUAUUUUUUUUUUUUAUCCUUUGGAAUCACAUUUUUGUUAAAAGCUGUAAGAAAUGAUCCUUGUCUCUCAUGAAAGUAUUUUUGGCCAGGAGCACUGAAACUUCUGCAUUCAUAAACAACAUUUAUAAACAAAAUUCGCUCAUGACGAAGACCAUGUGAUAUAGAUUCAUGGCCAUGCACCUAAUUGUUGCAAUUAUAUAUCAUUUCUAGAAAUUAAAUGCUCAUGUUUGGGCAGCUAAAUGAAUUAUUAUCUGCACUUUUUUUAUGGUUUAUUUCUGUACACUGCUGUUAAGCCAUGGUAUUUUUCUUUCUCGUAUUGCAGAGUCUUUUACAGUCUCUUAUUUUCUCUCGAAAAAAAAGAGAGGACCAGAAUUAUUUUUUAGAUGUGUAGCAGUAGUGCUCUCAGCCUUAAAACUGAAUUCUCAUUUUUGUCCUUUUUACUUUAUUAUUUAGUGAUUCUCAGGGGUGUCCAAACAUUUACAGUUCUCCGUUAGUGGCAUUUCUUUUCCAACAAUUGAGCUCUCUUAUUUUAAUUAGUACUAUUCAGGUUUUUGAUUCUGUACAAUUACAGCAGGCCACAUUUCCUUAGACUUCUUUGCUCACAUUGUUUGUUUCACUUCUCUCCAAGCCCAUGUAAUCUAAAUACAAUACGAACCCUGUUUCUGUACUGCUUAAUAUCCCCUUGCUAUAUAUACGCUAGUAAUCUCUGUAGAACAAUAUAGAGUAAUUUCGAAA